rnacentral:rRNA from 1 species
GAUGAACGCUGGCGGCGUGCCUAAUACAUGCAAGUCGAGCGAACAGACGAGGAGCUUGCUCUUUGACGUUAGCGGCGGACGGGUGAGUAACACGUAGGUAACCUACCUAUAAGACUGGGAUAACUUCGGGAAACCGGAGCUAAUACCGGAUAAUAUUUCGAACCGCAUGGUUCGAUAGUGAAAGAUGGCUUUGCUAUCACUUAUAGAUGGACCUGCGCCGUAUUAGCUAGUUGGUAAGGUAACGGCUUACCAAGGCAACGAUACGUAGCCGACCUGAGAGGGUGAUCGGCCACACUGGAACUGAGACACGGUCCAGACUCCUACGGGAGGCAGCAGUAGGGAAUCUUCCGCAAUGGGCGAAAGCCUGACGGAGCAACGCCGCGUGAGUGAUGAAGGUCUUCGGAUCGUAAAACUCUGUUAUUAGGGAAGAACAAACGUGUAAGUAACUGUGCACGUCUUGACGGUACCUAAUCAGAAAGCCACGGCUAACUACGUG